AUUUCGAUCUCGAUUGAUUCAUAGUAUUUAGGAUAACAAUCUUUGGAUAAUAUAUAAAUGAUAUGAUAUCCUUUAACUUUUGAGAUAGUUUUUAUGUUAAAUUAUACCAACAUUCCUAGUAUGGUAUAUAUAGACCUUAAAGUUUGUCCAACCGUUACUUUCCUAUAAAAAUGAUUUCUCACCUAUAUAUAAGUGGCAUGUUUUGUAGUAAAUUUAUCUGAAAUGUUAAGUUUAAAUUGUUUCUGUUGAAGCGUUUCCCAUAAACAUUUCGAAAAAACCUAUAAAAAUGUUCCACAUUUGGUUAGGAAAAUGAUCUUUUGGUAAUAUAUAAAUGAAUUGGUAAUCCUUAAUUAUUGAAGUAGUUAAGUUAGAA
rnacentral:sRNA from 1 species